GGAUUUGAAUGGAGAACAAGAUAAAUACCCAGCAGUGCAAGAGUAAUAAUACUGAACCUUCUGCUAACAGCCACAAUGAAGACUCUCUACAUACUGGUCCUGUCUGCCGCUGUUCUGCUCAUCGCUUCAGAUGCAAGAAGCAUCGAGGAUGGAUCGGAAGAUGAGGACAAGCUUGUGGACACGAUGCUGGAGGAUAAGAGAGAGCUUGAUACCAGAAACAUCCAGGAUGGAUCUGAAGAUGAGAACG